rnacentral:SRP_RNA from 2 species
GCCGGGCAUGGUGGCACAUGCCUGUAAUCCCAGCUACUUGGGAGGCUGAGGCAGGAGAAUCACUUGAACCCGGGAGGUGGUGGUUGUAGUGAGCUGAAAUUGCGCCAUUGCACUCCAGCCUGGGUGACAAAGUGAGACUCCGUCUCAA